ACGUCGGUCUACUAGCUAGUGGAGGGGAGACGAUUCCACCGUCAGUGCUGGAAAAAGGAGACCCGGUAACAAGCUAAGGCACAAAUCCAUAUCACCGUACAGGAAUGGUGAAAGCAUCCGGAGACGGACAGACGCGGACAGACAGAGCGGGCAUCUCGCACGGUCCCCCCACAUCGCUGUCGGAGAGAUUCGGACACGCCUCGCGCCGCCGCACAGACCCGACCCUCGUCCUCAACUGAACCAGCGAACACGCACCGCCCCGGGUCCGCCCGCCCGCACCCACACGUCUCAGGUUGAGUUCGGGCCCCGGUACAAAGCACCGCACUCGGACCGUGAGGACCCCCAUGGGCAGAGCCAUGCGCCGUCACUGAGACAGAAGGUGCCACAGUACAGAGCAGAUGCGCUAGCUGCCAUCGGUCCCAGGCCCUGAGAACACCCAUCCGCUU